CAAUAGCGUAUAUUUAAGUUGUUGCAGUUAAAAAGCUCGUAGUUGGAUUUCGGGUUGGCUUCAGCGGUCUCGCUUUGCGUUUGUACUGCUGCAGCCUGCCUUCUUGCCGGGGACGGGCCUACGGGCUUAAUUGCUUGGGGUCCGGAGUCGGCGACGUUACUUUGAGUAAAUUAGAGUGUUCAAAGCAAGCCUACGCUCUGAAUAUAAUAGCAUGGGAUAACACGACAGGACUCUGGCCUAUCGUGUUGGUCUAUAGGACCAGAGUAAUGAUUAAGAGGGACAGUCGGGGGCAUUCGUAUUCCGUUGUCAGAGGUGAAAUUCUUGGAUUUACGGAAGACGAACAUCUGCGAAAGCAUUUGCCAAGGAUGUUUUCAUUGA
rnacentral:rRNA from 1 species